rnacentral:rRNA from 1 species
AAUCGCGGAUCAGCAUGCCGCGGUGAAUACGUUCCCGGGCCUUGUACACACCGCCCGUCACACCAUGGGAGUUUGUAACACCCGAAGUCAGUAUCCUAACCGCAAGGGGGGAGCUGCCGAAGGUGGGAUAAGCGACUGGGGUGAAGUCGUAACAAGGUAGC